GUUCCCGUAGCUCAGCUGGAUAGAGCACCAGAUUCCUAAUCUGGGGGUCGUGGGUUCGAAUCCCGCCGGGGACGCCA
rnacentral:tRNA from 1 species